rnacentral:misc_RNA from 1 species
GAUGAAGAACGUAGCGAAAUGCGAUAAGUAAUGUGAAUUGCAGAAUUCAGUGAAUCAUCGAAUCUUUGAACGCACCUUGCACCCUUUGGGAUUCUGAAGGGUAUGCUCGUUUGAGUGUCAUUGUACUCUCACACUCCCGAUCUUUGCAUUGGGAGCAGUGGACUUGGGUUUGCUGCUUCACCGUCGCUUACCUCAAAUAGGUUAGUGCAACUCUUGGUUGGACAUAGUACGGCGUGAUAAGUGUUCUUCGCCGGUGCCUCGCAAAGAGGGUGGCCGAUCGGGAUGUUGUGCUCCAAACCGUCUUCGGACAAUCUCUGACGACUUGACCUCAAAUCGAGUAAGACUACCCGCUGAACUUAAGCAUAUCAAUAAGCGGAGGA